UACGUAGGUGGCAAGCGUUGUCCGGAAUUAUUGGGCGUAAAGCGCGCGCAGGCGGUCUCUUAAGUCUGAUGUGAAAGCCCACGGCUCAACCGUGGAGGGUCAUUGGAAACUGGGAGACUUGAGUGCAGAAGAGAAGAGUGGAAUUCCACGUGUAGCGGUGAAAUGCGUAGAGAUGUGGAGGAACACCAGUGGCGAAGGCGACUCUUUGGUCUGUAACUGACGCUGAGGCGCGAAAGCGUGGGGAGCGAACAGG
rnacentral:rRNA from 1 species